UCUGCUCGGGGAAUUUUGAAGGCUGGUCUCUGAUGGUUUUUUUAUUCUAAUGAUAGGCAUAUAUGCCUUGUGCCCGGCGUGUGGACAGUAGGGGCCAUUCUGGAUGAGGAGAGGUUCCAGGCUUCGGAGACAGAAUGGGCCAACGUGUGGAGAUUGGCUUUAAAAUGAGGGCAGGCAUGGUGGCGGCAGGCGGAGGCCCAUGGAACGGAGAGAGAGAGAGAGAGAGAGAGAGAGAGAGAG